UCAAGAAGAGCAGAUUCCAAGGACAUCAUUCUUGGAGGAGGUGCAGAAAGGAGGAAAGGAAAGGAACGAAGAUUAGUUGAGUCCCAGUAAAGAGCAGGAACUGCCCUGGAUGCUUCAUAUUCACUCUCACAUAUAGUCCUUUAACAGCUGGAGCUAUAAGUAACAAGGCUUACCCUGCCGGCAAUCUGCCUGCUGAAUGACUCCACAAACUGGUAUGAGCCUGCUCGUCUGGAACAGUCGCUCAUCAUCCCACUCUGGAUGCUCCUGUUUAAGCACAUCGCACACUCUGUUGUGUUCCCGUAGCCAAAUUGUGGCGUACAUCAUCAGACCAGGCACCAGCCCGA